ACGUAUGUCAUGUUCAAGUCCCCAUCCCGACCACGCCCAUCCCCCACUCCGGCCAUGUGGCAAGUGUGUGUGCCGGAGUCCCCAUGGUGUCCAGCCCCUCCCCUCACGUAAGCUGUGAACUCUGCGUCAGAUCUUCACUGCAUGGACGAGAGCAGGCUGGAGUCAUGGAUCAGGGAGAUGGAAGAAGAUUUGACAACCAUUCAUGGUCACUGUGACAGCCCUUUCAAUUCUUCAGGAAAUGGACCAGAGCUCUUCUGACUCUACAGUGAUCCUUGAACUAAGU